GUCGGUCUAAACACUUUCGUUUUGAACUUAGUGUUCCAGCGCAGUUGAUUUCUUCCUCGAUCGUUAGCAAAGCUUCCAUCGGACCUGAUGAGGGACUACGUUGUUUUCUCUUGCGGCGGUAGCGACGGGGGCGCCGUUGCUAUUAAAGCAUAAUCCCCAAUACACCAUUUGGGCUAAUCCGCUUCUCCAUCGCUGAAGUUUCCUUCAGUUUCUCCACUAUUGCGAUCCAAGCAUCCCCUUCUAGAUCGUUAUGGCCACCAUCCACUUCGGGAAAUUCCUCGACAGGAUAUACGAUGUAGCGUCGUUCCACCUCGCUAGGCCUUAGAUCUGGAGUCGAAGACUUGACGUGAAGUUAUUGAGGGCUAAACUGGAAGAGUGACGCGGAUGAGGCUGUGCGCAACGAGGCAAACCGCCAAUGACGAAACUCUACUGUGGAAGCGCCGGGCCGAGGCGUUUGUAUCUGAGGAGGUCCAUCUGCCACCUCCUCCUCCUCCUCUUGUUGCGAAGCUUUUUCCCAUUUCAAGCCACUGCCUCCUCCUACUCCUGUCGUGAAGCUUGUUCCAUUUCAAAUGAUAUCGUCGGGAUGCAAUUGAAUCUGAUCUAUAUUGUGAACCAGAUUAAGGAUGAAAAUGCCAGGGUUAUAGGCAUCUAUGGCAUAAGGGAUAGGUACAACCAUGUUUUUGAAGCUAAUCAACAACCCUAGACGGAUCUCCGAGCUCAAGUUUGAUCAAUGUCGUCUGGAUUCUGGCCUCCAGAGGAUGCAAAUUGCCACAUUAUUUGACACCUAUUCUCUGGUCUCAUGGUAUGGCUGACAGAACUGUAUUAUUCGAGGCAAGCAAACUGGACUUCCUUUUCUUGAGCAAACUGGCUUAUCCUGAUGUUGGACAUUCUAUCACCACUGAAGAAUUGCUGCAUCUUCAAUUGAGGAUUAAGGAUUUAAGGCUCGUCUGAAGAGUUCUUCAUGAAUACCAUCACCAACUUCUCUUCACAAUUUUUCGGCCCUCUCUUGACCAUAUUCUAUAAGCUUUGCUAUGGCUAUGCAUCAAGUGAUACACCAUCUUGUUUUCCAAUUCAGAGAGGAGGCUUUAACUUAGCCAGAAUGGUCAUGAACAUUCUGUUGCAUUCUCCAGGAAAAUUUCAACUUAGCCAAAAGCAAACUGCAAGAAGUCGAUCAUCAACAAUCUCAGCCACUCCCACAAAAGAAACCUAUGAAGCUUGACGAAGAGGGCCAGGGGUUCCCUGCAUGGUUUGAUGGUUUACGGGUUAUGAUUCAACCAGAAAUCAGAUCCCCAAUUAUAGAAAUCAUAUAAAUCCCAAAUGUUAUUGACAAACAAACAAUUGUUUUACCCGAGGAAGAUUAAGAGGAGGCUAUAAUCCAGACGACAUGAUCAAACUUGAGCUCGGAGAUCCAGCUAUGGUUGUUGAUUAGCUUCAAAAAUAUCGUUUUACCGAUCCCCUAUGCCGUAGAUGCCUAUAACCCUGGCAUUUUCAUCCUUAAUCUGGUUCACAAUAUGGAUCAAAUUCUAUUGCAUCCUGAAGAUAUCAUUUGAAAUGGGGCAAGCUUCACGACAAGAGAAGGAUGCGGCGGUUAAAAUGGGAAGAAGUUCACAACAGGAGGAGGAGGAGAAGGCGGAAGCGGCGGAUGGGCGAUCUCCUCAAAUACAAACGCAUCGACUUGCCGCUUCCACAGUCGAGUUUCUUCAUUGACGAUUUGCCCAUUGCACACAGCCUCAUCCGCGUCACUCUUUCAGUUUAGCCCUCAAAAGCUUCACGUCUCUCUGCAAGUCUUCGACUCCAGAUCAAGGCCUGACAAGGUGGAACGAAGCUAUAUCGUAUAUCCUGUUGAGAAAUUUCCAAAGUCGAUGGUGGCCAGAAGCGGAUGAUUGGAUCACAAUCAGUGGAGAAAUUGAGAAGAGGGAAACUUCAGCGAUCAAGAAGCGGAUUAGCCCAAAUAAUGUACUGACGAUUAUGCUUCACAGCAAAGAGCACCGGUCACUACCGCCGCAAGAGAAAACAACAUAGUCCCAGUUUCACAAUUCAACAUAUCAAAAGCUCACCCAUCUCUUCCAUUAUUUUGCGUCUUCCAUGGCAUUCAAUCACAUUUAAACAUUUAAACAUAUCAAAAGCUUUGACGGGAACAUCGAAGGAAGUAGGAAUGCUAUUUUAGCCUGGAUUCGAGAACUUUUCGACGAUGGUGACUCUGUUGCAUGAAGCUAUUAAUGCGGCUGGUCGAGCUGAAGGGUUGGCCGGAGUCGACGUGAGUCAACCGGAGAUAAAGGCCGGCGGUAUGAGUAGCAGAGAUUGAGGGGAGAGAGGAGGACAAUGCAAGUAGUGUAAACAAGAACAAGUGUGCAAGCUUUGUUUAUGCAUUGCGAUGCGGAGAGGAAUAAGUUACAAUGCUUAUAAUGAUUUGCCAUAACGUUAGUAUGCGAAGAAGGGGGACAAAAUACACUACCAACAAACUGUUAUAACGAUUUGCUAUAUAUAGAUUUACAUUGAUUGAUGCACACUAAA